rnacentral:rRNA from 1 species
UACGUAGGGUGCGAGCGUUGUCCGGAAUUACUGGGCGUAAAGAGCUCGUAGGUGGUUUGUCGCGUUGUUCGUGAAAACUCACAGCUUAACUGUGGGCGUGCGGGCGAUACGGGCAGACUGGAGUACUGCAGGGGAGACUGGAAUUCCUGGUGUAGCGGUGGAAUGCGCAGAUAUCAGGAGGAACACCAGUGGCGAAGGCGCCGCUCUGGGCCGAGACUGACGCUGAGGAGCGAAAGCGUGGGUAGCGAACAGG